rnacentral:rRNA from 1 species
AUUGAACGCUGGCGGCAUGCCUUACACAUGCAAGUCGAACGGCAGCACGGGGGGCAACCCCUGGUGGCGAGUGGCGCACGGGUGAGUAAUAUAUCGGAACGUACCCUGUAGCGGGGGAUAACCUCUCGAAAGAGAGGCUAAUACCGCAUACGCUCUACGGAGGAAAGCGGAGGACCGCAAGGCUUCGCACUAUAGGAGCGGCCGAUACCGGAUUAGCUAGUUGGCGGGGUAACAGCCCACCAAGGCUACGAUCCGUAGCUGGUCUGAGAGGACGAUCAGCCACACUGGAACUGACACACGGUCCAGACUCCUACGGGAGGCAGCAGUGGGGAAUUUUGGACAAUGGGCGCAAGCCUGAUCCAGCCAUGCCGCGUGAGUGAAGAAGGCCUUCGGGUUGUAAAGCUCUUUCGGUGGGGACGAAACGGUUCGUGCUAAUACCACGGACUAAUGACGGUACCCGAAGAAGAAGCACCGGCUAACUACGUGC